GCCCCCUACGGGAGGCAGCAGUGGGGAAUAUUGGGCAAUGGGCGCAAGCCUGACCCAGCGACGCCGCGUGAGGGAAGACGGUCUUCGGAUUGUAAACCUCUUUCAGCAGGGAAGACAAAAGGACGGUACCUGCAGAAGGAGCCACGGCUAACUACGUGCCAGCAGCCGCGGUAAUACGUAGGUGGCAAGCGUUAUCCGGAAUUACUGGGUGUAAAGGGUGUGCAGGCGGGGCUGCAAGUCAGAUGUGAAAAUUAUGGGCUCAACCCAAAACCUGCGUCUGAAACUGUAGCGCUUGAGAGGGGGGG
rnacentral:rRNA from 1 species